UACGGGGGGGGCAAGCGUUGUUCGGAAUUACUGGGCGUAAAGGGCUCGUAGAUGGCCAACUAAGUCAGACGUGAAAUCCCUCGGCUUAACCGGGGAACUGCGUCUGAUACUGGAUGGCUUGAGUUUGGGAGAGGGAUGCGGAAUUCCAGGUGUAGCGGUGAAAUGCGUAGAUAUCUGGAGGAACACCGGUGGCGAAGGCGGCAUCCUGGACAGUAACUGACGCUGAGGCGCGAAAGCCGGGGGAGCAAACGGG
rnacentral:rRNA from 1 species